rnacentral:rRNA from 1 species
AACGAACGCUGGCGGCAUGCCUAACACAUGCAAGUCGAACGAGACCUUCGGGUCUAGUGGCGCACGGGUGCGUAACGCGUGGGAACCUGCCCUUAGGUUCGGAAUAACUCCCCGAAAGGGGUGCUAAUACCGGAUAAUGUCUUCGGGCCAAAGAUUUAUCGCCUUUGGAUGGGCCCGCGUUGGAUUAGCUAGUUGGUAGGGUAAAAGCCUACCAAGGCGACGAUCCAUAGCUGGUCUGAGAGGAUGAUCAGCCACACUGGGACUGAGACACGGCCCAGACUCCUACGGGAGGCAGCAGUGGGGAAUAUUGGACAAUGGGCGAAAGCCUGAUCCAGCAAUGCCGCGUGAGUGAUGAAGGCCUUAGGGUUGUAAAGCUCUUUUACCCGGGAUGAUAAUGACAGUACCGGGAGAAUAAGCGCCGGCUAACUCCGUG